rnacentral:lncRNA from 1 species
CUUCCUUCCUUGCACACUGCCUCUCUUCUUUCCUUCCUGUUACCCAUCCUCCCUCUCUUACGUCUCCCAUCCUUUCUUCCACUCCCACUCCACCUUCCAAAUAUAUACCUAGACAAACAUCUGGAAUGAUGUUGCCUAAUAUUAAUUCUAGGUUUGGGGAACUAGGGUUUGUAAUGAUUGCCCUCCUCUCUCCAUUUUGGCAACAUUUUGCUAUAUAGCUUGAAUGGUUUAUAAAAGCACUUAUCAUUUUAAUAAAGACAAUAUAAUACUUUUUUCCAAAAAAUUAUUCGUAUCAAUUUUAUGGGGUUCUCUUGAGCACUGAAUGACAUGACCAGGAAAGCACCUGGCACACUGUGGCAAGCACAAGUCCAAGAUGGCCCCGAGAUUUCUUUCCAGUGAUGUACAUGCCCUGUACAUGCUGGUCCUUCUACCUGGAAUGUUCUUUCCUUCUCCCUUUAGCAAAUUUCUACUCAUCCUUCAGGACCUAGUUCAACGUGAAGAAGUUCCUGACACCUACACCCAGCCAAUCAGACCCUCUCUCUGGAGACUUAACGGGGACAGCAGAAAGGGUUAGCGUGCAUUCACAUAGCAGCAGUGUCCAAGGGUAACUGUUUAGAGGUCUUUGGCACCAAGACUACCUGGCACAGCCCAACUCUUGCUUUAUUGAACCUUGUCUUCAGGCUUCCUGUAUUCCACCACCUUCCCGGUAUCCUUCCAACAAAUUGUUUUUAUUUAAAGUGGCUAAGUCAGUUUCUGCAGCUUGCAAGUUAAGUACCCAACUGUUGCCCUGUCUCCCCAACAUUGAGUUCCAGGCCCUCAGAAGUUUGUGGAAUGAAUUGAAGUCAUGCGGAGGGUCAUUGUAACAGGCCAUCCUUCCUGCGACCCAACCUCCUGAAGGAUGGGACAGGAGACAGAUACCUGUGCUGCCUCUGUGAGAUGUCUGGAGCUGGAGGGCAAGGCACACACGGACAGUUCUUGCUUGCCAAGGAGCUCUGCCCAUCUUAGGGAGGGGAAACGGCUCCAGAGGCUAGACCACGUGCUCAACGCCACACAGCCAGCGGAAAAAGCAGAGGGCCAGGCGUUUUUGCAAACAUGCUGGUUUAAUCCUCUGUGUGCGCCUCCAUACACAGGGUCCUGACCUCGCUGUCCGCUCACUCGGGUGUCCCUUGCGUCCACACUCCGCCUUACACACAAAGGGCUCUCAACAAGUGCUCACUGGCCCCUAAUCCUCCCGCCGGGCCCGGGAGAGCAGAAUUAGCAACAGCUGCAUUUUGCAGAUGGGGAGACUCAGAUGUGCGAGGGCUACCCCAGGGCAUCCAGGUGUGAUGUGGGGGUCCCGAGACGCGUCGCCAAGUCAAGAUACCCCGGAGCUCAGUUCGUUCCUCAGCCUGAGCGGUGCCCACGAUGAUGGAAGACUUUGCAAGACCCCUCCUGGGUCGUUUCGAACCGAGCUGCCCUAGAGCUGUCGGGUAGGUGAGGGGGAGACAGGUGCACGAGCUGACCUCGUAGGUGACCGAAGAAGGGGAGGGAAGCAGGCCCGAUGGAGCCGACCUGUACCCGACGCAACCCGCUGUGGGCCGAAACGGGAGCUAAGCCAGAUGGAACAAACGACCCCCAACCCGAGCCCGGCGGGGCGAACAGGACAUCCCGCGUUGUUCCACCUGCCAAAGAGGGCGAGCGCGCGGGCCGAUCGGAGCAGAGCGAGAGGGCGGGGCCAAGCGGAGCGGAUGGGGCCAAGUGGACGAGCCGAGGGAGUGGGGCGCAGCCGAAAGUAGCCGAGUGAAGCCGAACAGAGACGAGGCGCGGGUCGGGUGGUGCCAAGCGGAAAUGAGUGGGGCCGAGCGGGGCAGGGUGGAGCCGAGCGGAGCCGGGUGGAGCCGAGCGGAGCCGAGCGAGUGAGAAGCCGGAGGCCGAGAGGGCCGGGCCGACUUGAAGAGGUGGGGAUUGCUGAGGGCUGGUCUGUCGGCUCUGGAAAUCCUGUCAUACUGUCACUUUUGGAUUCCGCCGUUUCCGUCCCAACGGAAAACUGGGGCUCCUGGAUUCCCCUGACCCGAGUUGUAACCACCGACGAGAAUCUUUUUCACUGGCGGCCUCGGCGUCGGCAUUUUAUAAAAUGAGAGCGGGGAGGGCGGCCGAAGACGAGUGUGCGGAGCCUUAGGCCCCCCGCUCGGGUCCGCUUUUCGUAUAUUCGGGUAGGAUCGGAUGUGGUGUCUUCCGUUGAAGUCCCUCGGCUCCAGUUCACCUGGGAGCGGGUGGGGGUUCUGGGGAAUGUCACUUUAAAGACUUUGCUUUUGGGGAACGGUCCUGGCGCCUCCUGUGUAGAUGCUGUCACUUGAGGUCUAGAAAGGGUCAGUGCGUGACGCAACGGACGCCGGGGAAGCCUGGUCUGGAUCCCGAAGUCCAGCUCGUUUACCUGCAACAGGCUGGAGGUCCCUGCAGCCUGGCUGUGAAGGAAUUUUACCCGGGGGGCUGCGCCUCUGCCCUUACCAGGGCAACCUCACUGAGCCCCACUGUUUAUAUCUGUAAGAUGAGGAAAGCGAUGCCUUCCUCUCAGGCUGCUGUGCAGCUGGAUGGGGUGGGGGCUCUGUAUUUUGACAGUGUUAUCAUGUAGUCAUAUAUGGAAAAAAUGUCCUUUUAUUUUAAAAUAAAAACAUUUAGGUACCAGGCACUGUUCUAGGCAGUGGGGAUAUAGACGUGAACAAAUCAACCAGUAAUGCCUGCAUACAUUCUAGUAGGAGCUGCUGAUCCAGUGGUUUGGCACAAGACUUCAGGCAGUGAACAUGGGCAUGAAGCACUGAGCCCUUAGGUAUCUGAGCCGUUGUCACCCACCGUGCCUGUGUGCUUACUGCUGAAUUGCUCUAAAACACAGAUCUGAUCAUGUGGCUUAGUUGCCAGCGCCUGUGAGAUAAAGACCGUCAGGAGCGGGCCCUAGCCUACUUUUCCAGUUGCAUCUCCCCAUCCCUUCUGUAAAUUUUCAGGAACACCUGGCCACUCACUCUUCCCAGUACAUUCCUCUGCUGUGUAUUUUCUAAGUGCUGAGCUCAAUGUUAGACACGAGAUGGCGCCAGAACUGUACUGAAGGCUUUCUCUAAUGGCCGCGGAGUACUCCCCUACCUGUUAACUGGCUUGGUUAUUGGAACCUUUAGAAAGCCCCUUAGCAUUUGUUUUAUAGACAGCCCAUAUAUUUUUUAGUAUAAUUCUCAAUGAAUUUUAUGUAUUGAAUAAAUUUUCUAGAUAUAAAAAGGAAGGGGAAUAUUAUGAAACUUACUGCCCCAAGGGUUUCGGUACCAUCAUCUACUCCUCAGAGAGCAAGCCAGGCCGUUUUACUCAGAAGCUCAUUAAGGUUCCUAAUUCACUCACAAUCUCUUCCUACAGUGUUGUUGCCGGGAUGCUUUAGGGAACUUGGCCAAGGUAGGGGAAAUUCCCUUCUCUUGGUUGGGCUCUGAUUUUUUAAACCAAGAAUGAUUUUUGUAAACCAAAAAUUUGGGGAAAUUUCCCCCAAAGUCCCAUUUUCUCCCCAAGCUAGUAUUAGGUAAAAAUCAGAUAUUACCUGCCCUGGUUUCUCAGCAAAAUUUAUUUGAAAUGUGUGAGAUUGCAGGCACCUCCCCAUCUGAGGAGAGGCCACGAAAUGGAAUUUCAUCCAAAAUUAAAACAGAUGUGACCUGGUCUCUGCUGGCAUCCUUUAUAGAUGAGUUUCCUACAAAGACAAUCUGUUGGGGUGGGGAAAAAUCUUAGAACGAUAGAAGUAGUUAGUAUUUCACCUCACUUUUUAAAAUUUGUAUUUGUGGCCGUGUAAUGUAGUGUACACUAUGAGUCAGUUGUAUACAUCAAGCCUGUGUUUUUCCAUGACGAAAAGAUUGCUAGAGGACAAAUGCCAAGAGCUUUGUUGGUUUUCCCAGGAUCUUCUAGCCAAAGGGGAAUCACUGGAACCUGAAGGGACCUCUCUAGGAAUGUCUUCUGUAGGUUUUGUCUUUUCACAUCUCAGCCUCAGUUUCUUCAUCUAUAAAAUGGUACUCACAAUGCCUUCUUCAUGGAGUUGUGAGAACACAGUGAGAUCUUGUGUGUAAAAAGGCUUUGAAAGCUGUGAUGCCGGGGCAGGAUAAACAGGGCUCCUGUUAGACCACACAGCCAUCUUUGGGCAUGGUGGAAAUGGCACCCCUUUCUCCUGGUGGAUCCAAACCCGUGACAGGGUACAUGACUUGGUGAGUUGAGCCUUACCGGAUUUCAGUCCCACUUGCCCAUUUGACCAGGCACCCUAAGGCAAAGUCUGCACAGGGUUGUGACAACACUGUGGAUCAAGUCCAAGUUCAUACAGAGGAGCCUACCCUGACUGCCUCUCCCCUUCCCACACCCUGUGUUUCUACCAAACUGAAGCCAUCAGUGUUUUGAAAGCAAAAGAUCAUUUCACCCCUCUGUGCCCUUGCAUGUACCUUCCCUUACUCUAGGUGCUCUUGGUGAACUCCCACUCAGUCGUUAAGACCCCACUUAAGCAAGUCUUCAAGUCUAUCUCAUUUGAUAACUUCUCCUUUUAUGUCCCUCCUCUUCUUCCAUCUGAGUACACUCCUCUAUCCUAGCCAUGACGCAAUUAUCUUUUCUGUUCUGCUUCUUCUGCUAGUUUUGGACAAAGAUGAAGAAACAAAUCUAGAGACUGGAUGACCUUGGAUCUCAGGUAAGUCCAUCUUCAGCAUGUGAGCUUGUUAACACAGCAGUUUCUUGUGAAGAGCGGUCACUCUGGGAAGAAAUUGCCAGACUGUGGAGCUGCUCAAGGCCAGACAGCAUGAUUUAUUCACCUCUUGGUGCCUGGCUUGCACCAUGCCCAGGGCCUGACUGUUGGGUGCUGGUAAGUAACUGUGGACUGAUUUACUGACUGUGUCUCAUAAUUGCCUUCCUGCCCUAGCUGUGAACCAAAGCCGUGGAGAUGAAGGAACUCUGGGAGUGAGUGAGGGAAGAGCAGUUGGUAUACAGACAGGGUGUUCCAGCUGCAAGAGGAGGGGAAUGCAGGAAUUGUCUUUUAAAUUUGUUAUCUGCACCUGAACUACACGUAUUCUUUAUCCUUGUGAAAAAUAAAAAUAAUUGCAGAUUAGGCUGAAAUCCAGCCUUCACAGAGGUAUCUGCUGUUCUAAGUGGAUCAAUGUCUGCAUGUGGUUUAUAUGUCUAUUAGUAUACAUGCUAGCUGCAGUGCCAGAAAAGCUUCCAAAUCUCAGUUGCUUAACACAAAAAAGUUUAUCUCUUGCUCAACACACAGUGUGAUGUGGUCGGGAGGUGACUCUGGGCAGCUGUUCCAGAAGGUGUCUCAGGGUCUAGGCUCAAAGUAAUGCUCAUCCCUUGCUUCUAACCUGUGGCAGGAAGAUUGAGUGGGACAUUUUAGGGGCUCAGCUAGAGGUAGCAUAUACUGAGUGUUGCAUAUUCCAACAGCCAGGACUCAGUCACACUGUCUUAAAGUAACUGCAAAGGAGACUGGGAAAUGUAGUAUUCUUAUGUGGGGAAGAUUUGUGAGCAUCAAGCAGAUCUUGCCACAAUAGUCAUGCCUAUCAAUAGGUUAUAUAUUGUAUUACAUGAUGGCAUGAGUAGGCAGUAGAAUAAAAGUGGUUGAAUUUUGGAUAUACAUUAUUUUGGCUGUAGAGUAGGCAGGGCUUACUGAUGGAUAUACAUGGGGGAUAAAGGAUAAAAGAAACCAAAUCUGAUUCCUGAGUUUUGGCAUGUGCAACAUGGGGGUUUGUAACACUGGAUUCUUGACAGAGAGGAAAAGAGACUUGGAGCAGGAAAAGUAUUAUUGGUGUUUUUUUUGUUUUGUUUUGUUUUGUUUUGGUGGGAGGAGUUCUAUUUUUCCAUUGUUAAGUUUGAAUUGCCUAUUAGAUAUUCAUGUGGAGAGGUCUGCAAGCCACAGGAGAAGACAGGGAAGUAGAUCUACAUUUGGGAGGCAUAGGCAUGUGGACAAUAUUGAAUGCCAGGAAGAGGGUGCAGAUAGAGAAGCAUGGAGAGCCUUUCUGUGAGUCCUGGGGCACAUCAAUAUCUAGAGAUGGAGCAGAGGAGAAGUCUAUGACAGAGAUAGAAAAGAACAUCCAGUUAGGUAGAUGGAAAACGAGGUAAAUGUAAUGACAUGGAUAUCUGAGAAGAGAUGAUUUCAAGAAGAAAGGUGGGGCCACCUUGCAUUGAAGACCACUAAGAAAGUGAGCAGGAGAGUGACUAAGAGGGAACCAUUAGUUUUGGCACCAUGAAUGUUACUUGAGGCUCUCAGUGGAACCAGUGUCCUUUCCUUCAGAUGCAGGAAACAGAAGCCAGUUGGAUGCAUUCUGGGAGAAUAGGAGUUGAGGAAAUGGAGGCAACAACCAUAGAUAGAUACUUUUUAUGACUAAAGAGAAUGAGAUGAAAGGAUACCCACCCAGGGUAUUAACACUGGUGGGCUCUGAGAUAUGGGAUCAGGCUCAUUCAGGAAAGUCUGUAUAUUGUUCUCAUUUGUGGCCACUGAACUCUCUGUUUUGCUACCAUGCAAAUCAGCUAUGAAUUGGAGAUAUAUUUUUUUAAAGUAUAGAACUAAGACUCUUGGACUGCUGAGGGGCACUGUGUGUGUGUGUGUGUGUGUGUGUGUGUGUGUGUGUGUCUAGGCAUGCUCUCAACACUUGGAGAGGCAGUUCAUGACCCUGUCUUAGAUUUUACUUCUGGCUCGUGCAGAGCUUCCUGGACAGCCUCAGGUGAGAACCUAGGGCCUUGUCAUGUCUUUCCUAGCAUACUUAUAGUCCUGAGUAUGCAUGCUAUUCCUAUGCAUGCUUAAAGCCCCCCAUGGACACUUUGUUCCCUGGAUUUUACUUUUUAAAAGCUUUUUUGGUUAGCUUGUUAUUUGAUCCACUCUUAUCACUACCUCAGGCAGCUGCAGUAUUAAACACUUGCCAUUGAUGAUUUUUGAUGAAUGCCUGUGGAGAAAAGGCCUUUCACACUGCAGGAAAUCUGAGUGAGGUAAAAUAAAGAGAAGACCUUUGAGUGGCGCUUUCUUAGGAAGCUCCAGAUUAAAUAAGGACAGUUGUCUAGGAUUGGGGUGUUGGAUGUUUCAACCUGUUCUUCCUCUCCAGUAGCUGCUAGGUUGCAGAUUUUAACUAUGAUUACUGAUUUUUGAUUUUCAAAGGUGCUGUGCAGUUGGGAUAAAGUGAGUAAGAAUAGAGCAAUUUAUAUGCCAAAAGAAAUGCUGUCCUUACCAAUAUUCAGCCAUUUUCUUGAAUAAAUGCUCUCUGGAUUAUUAUAAGAUUUUGGUUAAUUUCUAGAGUUCUGAAAGACUUGAUUUCAAUAAUUAUUGCCUGUGUUCCCAUUGCUUUUAUGGAGUAGGGGAGUUUUGGAGGUCCUUAUUCUGCCAUUCCCUUCUGACAUCACUCUAGCUGCUAUUUCUAGUAACUCCGUUUCCUGUCCAGUCCUCUUUGUGCUUACUCUCUGUUCUAUAUACUUUCUCUUUCAUCUUUUCAUCUUCCUUCUGAUUAUUUUAUUGGCUUUCUGCAUAAUGCAAGAUCAUGUUUGAAAUUACUCAAAUGUUA